GAUGCAGCGACGCCGCGUGAGGGACGAAGGCCUUCGGGUUGUAAACCUCUUUCACCAGGGAAGAAGCGAAAGUGACGGUACCUGCAGAAGAAGCGCCGGCUAACUACGUGCCAGCAGCCGCGGUAAUACGUAGGGCGCAAGCGUUAUCCGGAAUUAUUGGGCGUAAAGAGCUCGUAGGCGGUUUGUCGCGUCUGCUGUGAAAGCCCGGGGCUCAACCCCGGGUCUGCAGUGGGUACGGGCAGACUAGAGUGCAGUAGGGGAGACUGGAAUUCCUGGUGUAGCGGUGAAAUGCGCAGAUAUCAGGAGGAACACCGAUGGCGAAGGCAGGUCUCUGGGCUGUAACUGACGCUGAGGAGCGAAAGCAUGGGGAGCGAACAGGAUUAGAUACCCCAGU
rnacentral:rRNA from 1 species